rnacentral:tRNA from 1 species
GCGGUCGUGGCGGAAUGGUAGACGCGCUAGCUUGAGGUGCUAGUGGGGGAAACCCCGUGGAAGUUCGACUCUUCUCGACCGCACCA